rnacentral:rRNA from 1 species
UGGGGAAUCUUGCGCAAUGGGCGAAAGCCUGACGCAGCCAUGCCGCGUGAAUGAUGAAGGUCUUAGGAUUGUAAAAUUCUUUCACCGGGGACGAUAAUGACGGUACCCGGAGAAGAAGCCCCGGCUAACUUCGUGCCAGCAGCCGCGGUAAUACGAAGGGGGCUAGCGUUGCUCGGAAUUACUGGGCGUAAAGGGCGCGUAGGCGGAUAGUUAAGUCAGAGGUGAAAUCCCAGGGCUCAACCCUGGAACUGCCUUUGAUACUGGCGAUCUUGAGUAAUAGAGAGGUAUGUAGAACUCCGAGUGUAGAGGUGAAAUUCGUAGAUAUUCGGAAGAACACCAGUUGCCAAGGCGACAUACUGGCUCAUUACUGACGCUGAGGCGCGAAAGCGUGGGGAGCAAACAGG